UAGAGUUUGAUCCUAGCUCAGGACGAACGCUGGCGGCGUGCCUAAUACAUGCAAGUCGAGCGGACAGAUGGGAGCUUGCUCCCUGAUGUUAGCGGCGGACGGGUGAGUAACACGUGGGUAACCUGCCUGUAAGACUGGGAUAACUCCGGGAAACCGGGGGUAAUACCGGAUGCUUGUUUGAACCGCAUGGUUCAAACAUAAAAGGUGGCUUCGGCUACCACUUACAGAUGGACCCGCGGCGCAUUAGCUAGUUGGUGAGGUAACGGCUCACCAAGGCAACGAUGCGUAGCCGACUUGAGAGGGUGAUCGGCCACACUGGGACUGAGACACGGCCCAGACUCCUACGGGAGGCAGCAGUAGGGAAUCUUCCGCAAUGGACGAAAGUCUGACGGAGCAACGCCGCGUGAGUGAUGAAGGUUUUCGGAUCGUAAAGCUCUGUUGUUAGGGAAGAACAAGUACCGUUCGAAUAGGGCGGUACCUUGACGGUACCUACCCAGAAAGCCACGGCUAACUACGUGCCAGCAGCCGCGGUAAUACGUAGGUGGCAAGCGUUGUCCGGAAUUAUUGGGCGUAAAGGGCUCGCAGGCGGUUCCUUAAGUUUGAUGUGAAAGCCCCCGGCUCAACCGGGGAGGGUCAUUGGAAACUGGGGAACUUGAGUGCAGAAGAGGAGAGUGGAAUUCCACGUGUAGCGGUGAAAUGCGUAGAGAUGGGAGGAACACCAGUGGCGAAGGCGAUACCCGGUCUGUUACGACACGAGAGCGAAAGCUGAGCACG
rnacentral:rRNA from 1 species